AUUGAACGCUGGCGGUAUGCUUAACACAUGCAAGUCGAACGGUAACAGGCCUUCGGGCGCUGACGAGUGGCGGACGGGUGAGUAACGCGUAGGAAUCUGCCUCAUAGUGGGGGACAACGUGGGGAAACUCACGCUAAUACCGCAUACGCCCUACGGGGGAAAGCGGGGGACCUUCGGGCCUCGCGCUAUGAGAUGAGCCUGCGUUAGAUUAGCUAGUUGGUAGGGUAAAGGCCUACCAAGGCGACGAUCUAUAGCUGGUCUGAGAGGACGAUCAGCCACACUGGGACUGCGACACGGCCCAGACCCCUACGGGAGGCAGCACUGGGGAAUAUUGGACAAUGGGCGCAAGCCUGAUCCAGCAAUACCGCGUGUGUGAAGAAGGCCUUAGGGUUGUAAAGCACUUUCAAUGGGGAGGAAUACCUGGCGGUUAAUACCUGUCAGACUGACAUUACCCAUACAAGAAGCACCGGCUAACUCCGUGCCAGCCGCCGCAGUAACAC
rnacentral:rRNA from 1 species